rnacentral:tRNA from 1 species
GAGGGUGUAGCUCAGUGGUAGAGCUCAUGCUUAGCAUGCACGAGGUCCUGAGUUCAAUCCCAAGUACCUCCA